GCUGAAGAAAAAGACCCUCCGCAGCUUCAGCGCGAAGAGGGCGGCGGGGACCGGGGUGGUGGGGGUGGAACCUCGCCGCCUUCCGAAGCAGGAGUAAGCUGCAGAGGCUGCGCGGGGGUUUGAGCGGAGCGAGAACAGCUCCUUCCCUUGAUCAUGCUGCCCUCCGGAGGUCAGUUUAGGUAUCGCCGCUCCCUUUCACGCUGUUUUGUCUCUUCACCGUCUGUUCUGGAUCAUCCUGUCCAGAGAGACCGUUGGGUCAGAGGGUUCCUGUGGACCCCUGGGGCGAGCUUAAUGUCCCCGAAAACUGCGUGCUCCAGUAUCACUUGAAUGCCCACCGGGUUCCGGAAUCACGAGUCUCCAGAGCUGUCCCUUCGCCCCACGGCUCACAUUCCAGGUCUGCCCCUCAGUGACUUCUGCAACAACACGCGCUUCUCGAUCAGCUCUGAGGAUUUGGGUUCUGCGACGGACAGGGGAAGGAAAGAAGGAAGGCUGUGAAGAACCGUGGUGCCUGCCUGCACAGCCCUCCUCGCGUGCGAGCAUUAGUUGGCUAAAGUCGCCUGUCUCGACAGUCUCCCCUGCGGGGUAUCUGGGGACCCUUUCUUUGGGAAUCCACGCUCUUUGUCAGAGUAGCCAAUGCCUCUCCUGUCCAAAAUCUCAUACCCUUGGCCCUUCUCCCGUCCUCGCGCUGAGGCUGGAGUCAGGUCAAAUGUCAGAACAUCUGGAUGUCCCAAGAGUGACACCUGGGAGUGGGUGGGCAAGAAACCAGUAGCGGGAAGGGAAAGUGGAGGAGCAGAGGAUUCCCGGGGCCGGCGUCUGGGGUGAGCUCGCGGCCCCUCAGAGCCUGGCACAUCGCCGCCUGGCAUCCGGCAGGCGUGAGGGAACGCAUAGCGCAGCGAGUCAGGCGGGGUAAACCCGGAGCAACGCGGAGGCGGUGAUCUGGGCAAGGGCGAGGUCAGUUAAGGACGCAGUUCUGGCCCCGCCCUCAAGGCACGCCUGGCCAAUCAGGAAUCGCUGAUUCACCAAGCCUCUCCUCCUGCGCUCGCCCUCUUCUGCACUUCGGUCUCAGGCGCAAACACGUUCAAAGUCGCUAGGCCAAAGCGCUGAGAUACGGUUUCCCAAGCCAAUUAGAGAGCGGCUCUCGGAUAUGGGGCGGAACCCUGAAAAGGCGAGAGCUGAGAUGCCGCUCCGUUCUGCCUUACCACGCCGCCCCCCAGCGUCCGCCAAUUAGGAGAGCCCGGAGCCGGAUCCACUCUCAGCCUCAGGAAGCAGCAGCCUCCGCUCCGCGGCGGGUGUGCUCGGCAGUCACAGACCCACUCAGGACACCUCCCGUUGCCGACGGGCUAGACCUGCCUUAAAGGGGUCCCCGUGUCUCUCCAGUCUAGAGCCUAAGUUCAAACGAGGCGUAUAGGCGAGGACAGCAGGAAGGCUCCAAGUCAAACAAACGGAUGGUACGAAUUUCGCCUGGUCUAGCCCUGCCCCAACGGUGUGGGUGUGGGUUGGGUGCUGCAGCCCCCGAGCAAGGGGCUGUCACAGCCACAACCAGAGGAGCUAUGGAGCUGCUACGGAGGAGGGAUUCCAGAGUCAGCUUGGGCUUGUCCCAAGGGAGCCCUUGGGACAGUGUCUGGGGCUGCGCGGCCUGGUUCUCAUCCCUUGCAGCAUCUGCUAUUUUAGCCAGGGGCCACCUUCCUCCAAUGGCCUGGGAGUAGCUAGAGGUUAGAGGUUACACCCACCAGAAGGGAUGUAAGCCCAGGAAGUAGUCAGAAAGGAAAGGUCAUUCUAGAGAUGGGGCCACCUGAAAAACCUUCAGGAGGAAGGAGAAAGGAAAUGGGAUAAGUGUCAUGUCAUACUAAAUAUUUAUUUUCUGCAGACUGACUUCGGAGUAAUUCUUGAGCCAGGAGGGGAGAGGUUAGUGUUCAAAUUGCUGAGAUCUUAGGUCAAAAAGCUACAGAAAAGAAAUCACUUUGAAAAACACAAUGACUCAGAGGCAGUCACCCCUUGCCAGCAAUUCCAAGAGCUGAGGAGGCUUCAUGCCUCAGGACAUGGUGACUAGUUGAGUGAACCAGAGAUUGAGGCAGUGGUUUUUACAGGGGAAGAAACAAGCCUUGGGUGUAUGGGAGCAGGAAAGGAGGGUGACAGACUGGAGAAAUGAUAAAGGCCAUUUUGGAAGCCCACAGGGAAGUGGUCUUGGGAAACCUGAAGACACUGGGAUAUUCAGAAGGCCAAGGGGAUCCAGCUUAUCCUGUUGGGCAAGGUGCUGGGAGUGAAGGCAGAUCUCAGGGCGGUUUCUGGCACAUCAGAAGUUGGGCUUAU
rnacentral:lncRNA from 1 species